AGAGAGCGACAGGGAGAGAGGAGGGCAAACAUGGGCCAGAGGGCAACCCGGGUUUGGAAAGCCUUCUUCGAAUGAGGCCAGAGCCCCAGGGCAGGCCUCGUGAUUAUUUCCACAGCACGAACAUAAAAUUCCUGAGCGUCGCCAACUCCUUCAUGUUAGGGAAGAGUUUGAAAGGGAGACCCAACGAAGGGGUGACUUGGCCAGAGAGAACAGCAGGUUGUUGGUAGGGUCUGAGCAGGGGAGAGGUGGGGAUGGGGUGGAAUUCAGGCCUCCCGGUGAUAGGGGCCAGGGGGCGCUCAGCACCACUCGGUGUCAGCCCCAUUUGACAGACCAGGAGGCUGAGGCCCAGGGAAAGGGAGCGACCCUUCCACGGUGUGGCAAACAGCGAAAGGAGUGGGAGGAAGUGAAGUGAGUCCUCUGCAGCGGCCCGACCGCCGGCAGCGCCCCCCACCCUCCAGCGUCUCCUCGGGCGGCGGUGUGGGCGCGCACAGGCCCCCGAGCCCGGACCUUCUCUCCGACGCGCGGCCUGCGCCCGCGGGGCCUCCCCCUGCGCGGGGGAGCGACCCCGCCGCCCCCGCGCCUCCAGCCUGCGCGGCCCUGAACCUGACAUCACUCGGCGCGCGGUUUCGGAUCCUCUUUCGCUUCUGCCGGGUCGGCUGGGAUUGCAUGAAAUUGCAUUUCGAAAGGGGAUGCGGAUUUCCACGCGGGAGGGUCUUGCGAAAGCUGCGAGGGGAGCGGGGUGUCCGAGGGCCGGGGAAGCUUCCUUGAGAGCCCCCACUCCUACCCCUGCCGCCCGACACCGUGCCCUAGAAAAGUCGGGGUAACGGUUACCGCGGGGUGGGGCGCUGGGGAGACACGGGGAGAGCCCGGUGGGGCGGCUGGCAGAGGUCCCCCUGGGCUCAGUGGGGCGCACCUUGCAGUGAGGAGUUAAGCCGUACGUUGGAGCACACGGAUUUUUCCGUGUCUGUAUUUUCUUUUACAAUAAAGCUAUUUUUUAUUUUA